AAGACAGGAUGUUUAGUGGCGGACGGGUGAGUAACGCGUGAGUAACCUGCCUUGGAGUGGGGAAUAACACAGUGAAAACUGUGCUAAUACCGCAUAAUGCAUUUGGGUCGCAUGAUUCUGAAUGCCAAAGAUUUAUCGCUGAAAGAUGGCCUCGCGUCUGAUUAGCUGGUUGGAGGGGUAACGGCCCACCAAGGCGACGAUCAGUAGCCGGUCUGAGAGGAUGAACGGCCACACUGGAACUGAGACACGGUCCAGACUCC
rnacentral:rRNA from 1 species